rnacentral:rRNA from 1 species
AACGCGAAGAACCUUACCUGGGCUCGAAAUGUAGUGGAAUCCGGUGGAAACAUCGGCGCCCAGCAAUGGGCCGCUAUAUAGGUGCUGCAUGGCUGUCGUCAGCUCGUGUCGUGAGAUGUUGGGUUAAGUCCCGCAACGAGCGCAACCCUUGUUACCAGUUGCUACCAUUUAGUUGAGCACUCUGGUGAGACCGCCUCGGAUAACGGGGAGGAAGGCGGGGAUGACGUCAAGUCCUCAUGGCCUUUAUGUCCAGGGCUACACACGUGCUACAAUGGCCGGUACAAACCGUCGCAAACCCGUGAGGGGGAGCUAAUCGGAAAAAGCCGGCCUCAGUUCGGAUUGGAGUCUGCAACUCGACUCCAUGAAGCUGGAAUCGCUAGUAAUCGCGGAUCAGAACGCCGCGGUGAAUACGUUCCCGGGCCUUGUACACACCGCGCAUA